rnacentral:rRNA from 1 species
CGGGAACUCAAAGGAGACUGCCAGUGAUAAACUGGAGGAAGGUGGGGAUGACGUCAAGUCAUCAUGGCCCUUACGAGUAGGGCUACACACGUGCUACAAUGGCAUAUACAAAGAGAAGCGACCUCGCGAGAGCAAGCGGACCUCAUAAAGUAUGUCGUAGUCCGGAUUGGAGUCUGCAACUCGACUCCAUGAAGUCGGAAUCGCUAGUAAUCGUAGAUCAGAAUGCUACGGUGAAUACGUUCCCGGGCCUUGUACACACCGCCCGUCACACCAUGGGAGUGGGUUGCAAAAGAAGUAGGUAGCUUAACCUUCGGGAGGGCGCUUACCACUUUGUGAUUCAUGACUGGGGUGAAGUCGUAACAAGGUAACCGUAGGGGAACCUGCGGUUGGAUCACCUCCUUACCUGAA